UACGUAGGGCGCAAGCGUUGUCCGGAAUUAUUGGGCGUAAAGAGCUCGUAGGCGGUUUGUCGCGUCUGUCGUGAAAGCCCACGGCUUAACCGUGGGUCUGCGGUGGAUACGGGCAGACUAGAGGCAGGUAGGGGAGACUGGAAUUCCUGGUGUAGCGGUGAAAUGCGCAGAUAUCAGGAGGAACACCGGUGGCGAAGGCGGGUCUCUGGGCCGUAACUGACGCUGAGGAGCGAAAGCGUGGGGAGCGAACAGG
rnacentral:rRNA from 1 species